CGUGGUUUAAUCAAUCACAGACUGCAGAAGUGUCCGCGCGGACAGGUGGCGUCCUCUGCCUGUUAAAGGGUAAACAGUGUGCACAUCCUCGCCCUAAUUAUCGAGUCUGCUGUCUUAAGCUGCACAUUUCUGCUCUGAGUGUUAUUAAAAUGAGAGCGGACUGUUUUAUUUGGCGGAUUCCCUGAGGACGCCGCUCUCGGAGACGAACUGCUGUCUCUCGAUGAACAAUAAAUGGACGAGGUAAGUUUCUGUGGCAGAUGCUGGACUCUCUCAUUGUCUCAUUGGGGACACAAUACAAUGAGGUUCCCACAGGACUUGACAACCUCACAGCACCUCCUCUGAAAACAAACAGGCUCCUUAUUCAGCUGCUUGAUAGGCAGUUUUUUUCUUUUUUUAUUUGGGAUAUUUUGGGAUGAAUCCCUGUCAUGCCCUUGUGAAGGCCCCUGAGGCUGACUGUGCAUCGCAGAUUUCCUUCUGCUGCCUCUCUGGUAGCGUUGGACCGCACUCCACCGAGAAGCUGCCCUCACCAGCUGGUGGGGCUGCGCAGCUUCAGGCAGUGUUGGACCCGGAUCAGGUACUCAAGUCUGGGCUGCCUUAGAUGGAAAAGCUCAAUCAGACAGGGACAGAAGGAAGAUCCAGAGGUAAUGGCAGUUUCGAGGGAAGCUGGCAUUAAAAAUGUAAAAACUGAGAUCAUUUCUUCCAGGGAUUUUUAAGAUUCUGAAGCAAAUCCAAAAAAUGCUGUCUGUUUGUUAAAGAGAAACAGUUGCUUAAUUAAACCUCCUCAUCCGGACUCACAUGUCUGCACUUUUCAGUGGCAGGUGUCCUGUCAAAGAAAUGUAAGAAUCUAAUCAGAGUUGUUGACCUUUUCUGCUUCCAUCAUGCCGUGCAUGGAUAAUCUCUGCACAGGCUGUCAGUACACACAUGAGGCUGCCAGCGGGCGCACAGCUCUGU